rnacentral:rRNA from 1 species
GAGGGGGAGAACUACUGGAAACGGUAGCUAAUACCGCAUAACGUCGCAGGACCAAAGAGGGGGACCUUUGGGCCUCUCGCCAUUAGAUGUGCCCAGAUGGGAUUAGCUAGUAGGUGGGGUAACGGCUCACCUAGGCGACGAUCCCUAGCUGGUCUGAGAGGAUGAUCAGCCACACUGGAACUGAGACACGGUCCAGACUCCUACGGGAGGCAGCAGUGGGGAAUAUUGCACAAUGGGCGCAAGCCUGAUGCAGCCACGCCGCGUGUAUGAAGAAGGCCUUCG